rnacentral:rRNA from 1 species
UACCGGGGGGGUAAGCGUUGUUCGGAAUUACUGGGCGUAAAGGGCUCGUAGGCGGGAUGGCAAGUCGGUCGUGAAAUCCCUCGGCUCAACCGAGGAACGUCGAUCGAUACUGCUGUUCUUGAGGAUUGCAGAGGAGACUGGAAUUCCCGGUGUAGCGGUGAAAUGUGUAGAGAUCGGGAGGAACACCGGUGGCGAAGGCGGGUCUCUGGGCAAUUCCUGACGCUGAGGCGCGAAAGCGUGGGGAGCAAACGGG